UGAGCAAUCUGCCCUUCACAUCGGAAUAACCAUUGGAAACGAUGGCAAAUACCGAAUAUGACUUCGGAUCGCAUGAUCUGAAGUGGAAAGCUCCGGCGGUGAAGGAUGAGCUCGCGGCCUAUCAGCUUGUUGGUGGGGUGAUGGCCUACCAAGGCGAUGACGGGUAGCCGGCCUGAGAGGGCGACCGGCCACACUGGGACUGAGACACGGCCCA
rnacentral:rRNA from 1 species